CCUGUGGGUUGGGUUGGCUUU
rnacentral:miRNA from 1 species